rnacentral:rRNA from 1 species
AUUGAACGCUGGCGGCAGGCCUAACACAUGCAAGUCGAACGAGUGGCGGACGGGUGAGUAACACGUGGGAACCUACCCAUCAGAGGGGGAUAACACUUGGAAACAGGUGCUAAUACCGCAUACUGAUGGAUGGACCCGCGGUGCAUUAGCUAGUUGGUGAGGUAACGGCUCACCAAGGCCACGAUGCAUAGCCGACCUGAGAGGGUGAUCGGCCACACUGGGACUGAGACACGGUCCAGACUCCUACGGGAGGCAGCAGUGGGGAAUAUUGCACAAUGGGCGCAAGCCUGAUGCAGCCAUGCCGCGUGUAUGAAGAAGGCCUUCGGGUUGUAAAGUACUUUCAGCGAGGAGGCGUUACUCGCAGAAGAAGCAUCGGCUAACUCCGUGCCAGCAGCCGCGGUAAUAC